AUUUGAUUAGAUUUAAGUGCAAGGGGCAAUAUGGACCCGCUAUUGGUAUGGUAAUAACUUUAUUGAACCAAUACUAGCAAAUACUUGUUUCUAAAUUUUUUCUUAAUAUGACUACUCUUUUCAAAUGUGCUAUUUUAAAUGCUCCAAAAUGUAUUUUCCUUAAUCUUCCCUGGCCCUUGUGGGAAAUUUUUUUCUUUUUUCAACUUGCUUUCCUAAGCUUUAUUAUAUUUAAAUCCGAGAGAAACUGUGCCAAAAAAAAGAAAAGAAAACAUGUUCUAAAGGGCAAUGCAUGCAACAUUAAUGCAGAAAUAAAAAAAAAUACUUGAAAGAGUCCUUUACGUUUAAUUAAAUUUGGUGUUUUAGUUUUGUCUGAAUUUGAAUUUUUCCUAGCUAAUCUAUGCAAUUAUGCUUACUUGUUUUAUAUUUGUAAGUACUUGACUCAAUGACCCGGGUGUUUUUACUAUCAGUUUUAUUUUGAAAACUGUUUCUAACUUAAUUUUUAGUGUCAUUUUGUUCACUUAUUGGUAGCACUAGAACAGGAAAGCAAAAAAUAAAAACAAAAAAAGUGUAGUAAAAUCUGCUGGCACAGAAACAGCAUAUCAUUCGGUAACUGUAAAACCUAUAUGCAGAUAAAGAUUGAUUUGUUGAUAAAGGACUUUUGUUGGACAAAACAGUACCUUUGCCUUCAUAUUUUUUCUUCUCUUAAGAAGGAGCAUUAUGGAAAAAGUAAUUACAAUACAAAGUCUUAGUGGAUUUUUGUUGCUGUUCUAAAUUCAGCUGCUUUGUGAAACUGUGAAAUCAAAGUAAUUGUUAACCUUUAUUCAUUUUAGUUCAUAGCAUUACUGUUUCACAGAAUGUAACAUAUUAGGAGCCCAUAUGAUAGAGCUCUAGAAGGAUAAUGUGUCUUUAAGUUCUGAUUGGGAAGUGGGAUGGGGAAGAUGUUCUUGACUAAAAGAAAAAAUCAACAUUUGAGUAAUAUGCAAUAUUAUGAAAUGUUACAGCACUAUAUUAAAAACAAUAAAAUGCUAUUUUACAAUUGCA
ensembl:lncRNA